GAACUCCAGCCACGCUAUUCAUCGUCAGAGUCGUCGAGGAGGCGGAUGCCAGGCACGGCCCGAGCGCUGUUGGGCCCCAAGUUCUCUCGCGGGCAGUGCGGGUGGUCGACAGCGGGCUGCGGUUGCUCGACACUGUGAAGGCGGAGGCCACGAGGCGCCAGCGAGUGCCAGUGUGCGGCGAGGGCGCCGCGGCGGCGCGAAGCCGGGCGAGGCCUGGUGCAGGGUGGGCGCGCGCGAGGGUGGCCUCGGCCUGGCGCAGGGGCCCGACCACGGGUGUGGCGCGGGCACGGCCGUGCGGCGGGGGCGCUUUGGCGCGACUGCAUCAACAUCGACGACUGCGGCGUCGGAGGAGCCGCUCAUGACGCGCAUGCCGAAGGGCGACCCUGUAGAGGGCCGGCGCCACCGAUCCGCGCGGAUGCGCGUUUCCGUCGCGGGACGCGAAGCCGGUGGUUCCGGUCGCCCAGUCAAGCGCGGGAUCGAGGCCAGACGCUGAUGGCAAGAUGGCGAUGAGCGCCACCACCAGUCCAGCGAAGAUGGUAAUGAAGAAUCGAAGUGACAGUUAGAGACCGAGAGAUUUGUCGUCGUGGCCGUGCACGGCGCGAAGAUGCCGAUUGGAAGCACUUUCGCCGGGCUGAGGAAAGCAUGCUGAUAACGUGUUGAGAUGUAAACGAGAGACAAUCGAAUAAAUGAUUGGACUGUGGAUUC